rfam:Gossypium hirsutum cultivar TM-1 chromosome 9, whole genome shotgun sequence
AGUUAAAAUUUUUAUUUAUUUGUAGUGUUAAAAACUGAGGUGGCUGAUGUAAUAAUCAUACGAUACCUCAUGUUAAUUUAUUAGGAUCAGUUUUAACAUUAGAAAUAGAUGAAAAUUUUGACA